rnacentral:rRNA from 1 species
GAUUCCCCUAGUAACUGCGAGUGAAGCGGGAAAAGCUCAAAUUUAAAAUCUGGCGGUCUCUGGCCGUCCGAGUUGUAAUCUAGAGAAGUGUUAUCCGCGCUGGACCGUGUACAAGUCUCCUGGAAUGGAGCGUCAUAGAGGGUGAGAAUCCCGUCUUUGACACGGACUGCCAGGGCUUUGUGAUGCGCUCUCAAAGAGUCGAGUUGUUUGGGAAUGCAGCUCAAAAUGGGUGGUAAAUUCCAUCUAAAGCUAAAUAUUGGCGAGAGACCGAUAGCGAACAAGUACCGUGAGGGAAAGAUGAAAAGAACUUUGGAAAGAGAGUUAAACAGUACGUGAAAUUGCUGAAAGGGAAACGCUUGAAGUCAGUCGCGUUGGCCGGGGAUCAACCUUGCUUUUGCUGGGCGUACUUCCCGGUUGACGGGUCAGCAUCAAUUUUGACCGUUGGAUAAAGUUCAGGGGAAUGUGGCAUCUUCGGAUGUGUUAUAGCCCUUGGUCGCAUACAACGGUUGGGAUUGAGGAACUCAGCACGCCGCAAGGCCGGGUACUUGUACCACGUUCGUGCUUAGGAUGCUGGCAUAAUGGCUUUAAUCGACCCGUCUUGAAACACGGACCAAGGAGUCUAACAUGCCUGCGAGUGUUUGGGUGGAAAACUCGGACGCGUAAUGAAAGUGAAAGUUGAGAUCCCUGUCGUGGGGAGCAUCGACGCCCGGACCAGACCUUUUGUGACGGAUCCGCGGUAGAGCAUGUAUGUUGGGACCCGAAAGAUGGUGAACUAUGCCUGAAUAGGGUGAAGCCAGAGGAAACUCUGGUGGAGGCUCGUAGCGAUUCUGACGUGCAAAUCGAUCGUCAAAUUUGGGUAUAGGGGCGAAAGACAAUCGAACCAU